GAUGAACGCUAGCGGCAGGCCUAAUACAUGCAAGUCGAGGGGUAGUGGUUGCUUGCAGCCAUGAGACCGGCGCACGGGUGCGUAACGCGUAUGCAACCUACCUUCAUCUGGGGGAUAGCCCGGAGAAAUCCGGAUUAAUACCGCAUAAAAUCACAGUACGGCAUCAUACAAUGAUCAAACAUUUAUGGGAUGGAGAUGGGCAUGCGUGUCAUUAGUUAGUUGGCGGGGUAACGGCCCACCAAGACCGCGAUGACUAGGGGAUCUGAGAGGAUGACCCCCCACACUGGUACUGAGACACGGACCAGAGUCCUACGGGAGGCAGCAGUAAGGAGUAUGGGUCAAUGGGCGCAAGCCUGAACCAGCCAUGCCGCGUGCAGGAAGACGGCCCUCUGGGUUGUAAACUGCUUUUAUUCGGGAAUAAACCUGCUUACGUGUAAGUAGCUGAAUGUACCGAAGGAAUAAGGAUCGGCUAACUCCGUGCCAGCCGCCGCAGUAAGAC
rnacentral:rRNA from 1 species